rnacentral:lncRNA from 1 species
CACGAUCAGAUAUGAAUCAUUUGUUACAAGCACGUAAAGUUGAAAAUUAUGCGACUUAGAUAAAAGUCGAACAAUGUAAUGCAAAAAAGAAGCUGAAAUAUUUAAGCCCUCCAAGUUUCAAAGUUGAAGUCUUCAAGUCCGUCGGUCUUCAAGUUGAAGUAUUCAAAUUUUCUGAUCUUCAAGUUGAAAUAUUUAUACCCUCCAAGUCUCAAAGUUGAAGUCUUCAAGUCCGUAGGUCUUCAAAUCGCCGAUCUUCAAGCUGAAAUAUUUAGGCUCUGCACAUCUCAAAGUUGAAGUCUUCAAGUUCGUCGGUUUUUAUGUUUCAGCCUUCAAAUUCGUCGAUCUUGAAGUUGAAUUGUUUAAGCCCUCCGAAUCUUCGAGUUGAAGUCUGCAAAGCUUGCCAAAUCUUCAAAGUUUUUCAAGUCGAUGUCAUCUUUGAGUUGAAGCUUUAUAAUUUUCAAAUCUUAUGGUGGACAUAUAAGUCCCUUUGCACCUUAAGUUGGCCUCCUCGCGGUUUUGUCCUUUAAAGGAACUAUAACUUUCCAAUCUUAAGGUGGACAUACGAGUCCCUUUACACCUUAAGUUGGCCUCGCCGAUAGUUGAGCCACAUUGAGAGUAAUCUUUCUGAUAGUCAGGCCACAUUGAGAGUAAUCUCUCCAAUAGUCGGGCCUUUUUUAGAGUAAUCUCUCCCAUAUUUAGGCCAUAUUCUGUGGAAAUAUAAGUUUUCCAAUCUUAAGGUGGACAUAUACGUCUCUUUGAACCUUAAGUUGGCCUCGCCGAUAGUCGAGCCAUUUUGAGAGUAAUUUCUCGGAUAGUUAGGCCACAUUGAGAGUAAUCUCUCCGAUAGUCAAGCCACAUUUUGUACCUUACGGUGUACAUAUGAGUCCUUUUGCACCUUAAGUUGGCCUCUCGAUAGUCGAGUCACAUU